GACGAACGCUGGCGGCGUGCCUAAUACAUGCAAGUCGAACGCUUCUUUCCUCCCGAGUGCUUGCACUCAAUUGGAAAGAGGAGUGGCGGACGGGUGAGUAACACGUGGGUAACCUACCCAUCAGAGGGGGAUAACACUUGGAAACAGGUGCUAAUACCGCAUAACAGUUUAUGCCGCAUGGCAUAAGAGUGAAAGGCGCUUUCGGGUGUCGCUGAUGGAUGGACCCGCGGUGCAUUAGCUAGUUGGUGAGGUAACGGCUCACCAAGGCCACGAUGCAUAGCCGACCUGAGAGGGUGAUCGGCCACACUGGGACUAAGGCUUACCGGAUUGCCGGAUUAAUCCCGGAAUUGGGAAUCUUCGGCAAUGGACGAAAGUCUGACCGAGCAACGCCGCGUGAGUGAAGAAGGUUUUCGGAUCGUAAAACUCUGUUGUUAGAGAAGAACAAGGACGUUAGUAACUGAACGUCCCCUGACGGUAUCUAACCAGAAAGCCACGGCUAACUACGUGCCAGCAGCCGCGGUAAUACGUAGGUGGCAAGCGUUGUCCGGAUUUAUUGGGCGUAAAGCGAGCGCAGGCGGUUUCUUAAGUCUGAUGUGAAAGCCCCCGGCUCAACCGGGGAGGGUCAUUGGAAACUGGGAGACUUGAGUGCAGAAGAGGAGAGUGGAAUUCCAUGUGUAGCGGUGAAAUGCGUAGAUAUAUGGAGGAACACCAGUGGCGAAGGCGGCUCUCUGGUCUGUAACUGACGCUGAGGCUCGAAAGCG
rnacentral:rRNA from 1 species